rnacentral:rRNA from 1 species
GAAAAUUAUUUUUAUUCUGAGUUUUAUUCUCAGAUUCUAUCUGAAGGGUUUGCGAUCGUUGUGGAAAUCCCAUUCUCGCUACGGGAAUUUUUUUGUCCGAAAGAAAAAGAAAUACCAAAGUUUCGGAAUUUACGCUCUAUUCAUUCAAUAUUUCCCUUUUUAGAAGACAAAUUUUUGCAUUUGGAUUAUCUAUCACAUAUAGAAAUACCCUAUCCUGCGAUUUUCGAACCAUUUCCUAUAAGAGAAUGGUUUCCAUUACUUUGA